GGGGACGUUUUGGAUUAGACAGGAUGUUUGGUGAAAAUAGGCUGCGUGUCCGUGCGCUGUUCACGGUUAUCAACGAGCACAACAAAUUAAAUGCUAACAAUGUAAUUAAAGCAGACUUCUCUAGAGCAGCAGCUUUAGCAGCGUAGUCGCUAUUUAGCUACUUAUAGAACCCAGCUUGCCGGUUUUAUCGGUCAAUUAUGCAAGUUGCAGUGCAGCGAUUGGCAGUAACUGCAUUAAGAUAACUGUCAAAGGUUUAGAGUUUCCUUUAAAUAAAACCUAGGAUUAAUUUGUCGGGUUUUGAUAUUUUCCUGAAUUAAUCGAGAAAAUAAAUAUCUACACACGUAGAGGUUUAUUUUGAUCCAUUUUGGACGUGGGUUCGACUCCCACCGUCUCCAUAU
rnacentral:tmRNA from 1 species